rnacentral:ncRNA from 1 species
UAACUACUGUGAAGAAAGAAUUAGUAAGUUGCGUUUUAACAGAGAGAUUUUGAUUGCUGAGAAAAAUCAUAGUAACUGAAUUCGCUUUUGAAGAAGUAGACAUAAGCUAAUUAAAAAAUGUCCGAUUGAUGUUCGUUAUCCAUCUAAGAGUGCAUACUAAUUGUAUGAAUUUGGGUGGUAACGCGAAGCUUCGUCCCUUGA